GACGUUAUGGCUUCAAAUCAUACCACGUGGUGAGGGGUUGUAUCUAGGAUGGCCCUGGCCCUGCACGUUGGGUGUGUGAGCAACACUGCAGCCACUCUGCCCCACCCCAGAGCCUGUGACUGAGCCUGGACUUCCUGAACUUCAUAAAUAAGUGUAGAUAACAAAUAUAAACAAAAGAACAGCAAUCAUCAUCAUCACUAAUGUUUACUAAGCACUUUACAUGAAUCUCCUCUAACACUUUUUUUUUUCAACAGGACAUCUCCCUCUGACACCCAGGCUGGAGUGCAGUGGUGCAAUCGUGGCUCACUGCAGCCUCAACUUCCUGGACUCAAGCAAUCCUCCCACCUCAUCCUCUCAAGUGGCUGGGACUACAGGCCGGUGCCACCACAUCUGGCUAAAUUUUUUUUAUUUUUUGUAGAGACAGGGUCUCACUAUGUUGCCCAGGCUGGUCUGGAACUCCUGGCCUCAAGUGAUCCUCUCAUCUCGGCCUCCCAAAGUGCUGAGAUUGCAGGCAUAAGCCACUAUACCUACCCUACUCCUUUAACUCUUACAACGGCUCAAUGAGGCAAACAAAAUCAUUAUGCCCAUUUUAUUUUACUUUUUAUUUUUUGAGAUGGAGUCUUGCCCUGUUGUCCAGGCUGGAGUUAAAUGGUGCAAUCUCGGCUCACUACAACCUCUGCCCCCUGGGUUCAAGUGAUUCUUGUGUCUCAGCCUCCUGAAUAGCUGGGAUUACAGGCGCGUAACAUUAUGCCUGGCUACUUGUUGUAUUUUUAGUAGAGACGGGGUUUCGCCCUGUUGGCCAGGCUGGCUUCGAACUCCUGACCUCAAGUGAUCCACCUGCCUCGGCCUCCCAAAGUACUGGGAUUACAGAUGUGAGCAACCAUGCCUGGUCAGUUACGCCCAUUUUACAGAUGAGAAAACUGGGGCCAAAGCAUUUAUUUUCCCAGAAUCACAAAGCUAGAAAGCGAUGGGACUAUGAUUCAAAUCCAAGUUCUCUGAUUCCAGAGCCUGUGCUCCUUAUUCUAUUGCCCACUCAAUUUUUCCCCCAAAAUCCAAGCCAACAUCCAAUGUGAAUUCCAUCUGACCUUGGUUAUGGAAAGCAGCCCCCUCCCCGACACCCCCCCCACCCCUGCUCCCACACACACAGCCAUUCUAUUGAAGGAGACUAGCCCCAGAUGCCCCCUGGCUUCUUGCUGUCAGUAGUGAGAAUUAGUCCAACAGUUGGAGAAAAGAAGCCACCGAUAACUGAGAGUUGGCUAUUGCCUUCGUUCUCUGCAUUUUGCUCUUGUAAAAAGCAAUGUGUGUGUGUGGAGCCUCUAAGUAUGUCCAUAUGGUGACAUAGACAAGACCGCGGUACUUGCUUGUGACAACUGGAUCUGACCUUCCCUGGAACUCUUAGGAAAAUGUAAAUUGCUCUUUCGUGGCCCCAACAGCACAUUUUGUACCCACUUUGGUCAAGGUCACUAUACAAGGAGGAUCCUGGCAUGCUGGGAACACUUGCUUACCUUGGGGCCUCCCAAGAAUCAGCCCAUGGAUGGAGACUCUGCCCUACUCACUUUUUAUUCUCAUGCCGACUAGCACAAGGCAGGUACUCGAUGUGUGUCAGUUGACACAAAAUAAAGUGAGCAUGUCCUAGGGAGGUGAGACAAUGGGAAAAGGUGGGUCUCCUCUUGACUCUCAUCACCCUUGCUGCCUGGGGUUCCUGUUCCUCCACCUCACUUCCCUGGGGCCUCCCAGUCUGUCUUGCCUCAUUGUUCUGUCCCAGGGAGAGAGGGGUGACAAUGUCCUAGAGCCAAAGCCAUCCCGUGCAAAAUCAGGUAGGAGGAAAGUACAUACAGUGCUACCCAAAGGGCCAGCCCAGCCUGGAGGAAUAUGAUGCUUUGGGGAGGUACCUGGGGAUCCUGUAUAGGCAACAUAAGCCAUGAUGGAAAAUAAAGUAAUACAAGCAGUAACCUCCAAGACAGAAAAUUGAUUCAUUAGUGCCUCUAGUUUGCAUGACUAUGGAAAAGAACCCUCCCGGCUGAAUAACCAGUUAUGAUCAGCAGUUAAGACCUCUCUUUUGUUUUGUUUGUAAGAAGACCUCUCUUUUGUUUUGUUUUGUUUGUAAGAAGAAGAGAAGAAAGAGAGGAGGGAAGAGAGGGAGGGCAAGUCAAUGAGUUGUGCUGAGGAUGAGAGGAGAGAUUUAUCUUUAAGACUAAUAGCUUGUCAAUGAGAGCUAGCCUGCCUUUGAGCAGCAGCAAUAGCCUGCCUUUGAGAUCAGCCAAGUCCCUAUUAUAUAUUAAAUUCCCUUGCCUGAAAAAUAAAUUGUGGAAGAAAAAGGGAAAUUAUGUACAUUCCAUUUUAUGGGAAUCAGACUUGUCCGUGAUCUUCCCGUCUGUCUAGUGGUUUCCACUUGGCUGGAUUUAUUGGCAUGACUUGCCUUGUGGGUUCACUCUCACUGGGCUCCUGCCUCUUUAGGGGGCUAAAAGUCUUUGUGGGCCCUGCAACAAUAUGAAAGAGGUCUCUUCCAUGCAGACCCAUCACCGUGUCCACAGAGAGAACCCAUGGGCAGUGUUCUGAGAUUGCAGGGUGGCAUCUUCCAGCACAUAGGUAAGUAACAAGCUUUGUGGUAAAUUUGCAAUGCAAAAUAACCACUUACCAGCUGCCAGAGUAGAUACGUUUUACUUUUAAGUAAAAUAUUAAGUAAAUACAGAUAUUUACUUAAAUAUCUGUAGUGCCUAACUGGAGUUGCUUUGAAUUUCUUGAAAGGAUUCAAGCCUUGAUUUAUUUAUUUUUAUUUUUUGGCUGUGGAAAGACAACGGUCUCCAAGUCCCUUUCAGAAGGAAAUCAAUACCCCAGAGUUAAUACUCCCUUUCUUUGAGGGAAUGAUAUAUCUAAACAAGAGAAAAAAUAUAUUUUUCAGCAAAUCUUGACCACAAAAUUCAUCUGCUCAAGGCUUUAGGUCAAUUCAUUCAUCAUGGGCAAUUUAUGAACCAAUGAAGUCAGCCAGCUGGGGGGCAAAUCAGGAUGGAAUAAAGUUAUGCAUUAUUUUUGUAUUUGUUCAAAGUAAAAAUAACUUUUGGAGGGCCUAUGGUGUUAAAAUAUCAGGUUCAACGUAGAAGUUUCCUCUCUGCUCUUAUUUUCCACCAUUCAAGACUGCAAACAAUAUGCUUUGAAAGAAAGAAUGACUUUUGGAAAAAUUGACUUUCGGAAAAAUUGACUUUUACAAGGCAUACAGUCUAGCGAAAAGCAGAGUGGAAUAUAGAUAAGUUCAAGUUAUCUCCCUGCAUGUUUUAUGGGAGAUAGAUUAUUGAUUGUGUCUUAUAUUUUUGUUCAAGCCCCUUGUCAAUCAAGUGCCCUAUAGAUUAUCCUUUGAGAGAACACAAUACUAUUGAUUCUCCUAGACCAAGCUUCAAACAUUGGAAUUUUGAUAGAGAUGGCAUUGAAUCUGUAGGUUGCUUUGGAUAGUAUGGCCAUUUUAACAAUAUUAAUUCUUCUAAUCCAUGAACAGGAUAUCUUUCCAUUUAUUUUCAAUUUCUUUCUUUUUCAAUUUCUUUCAUCAUUGUUUUAUAAAUUUCAGUGUACAAAUCUUUCACCUCCUUGGUUAAAUUUAUUCCUAAGUAUCUUCUCUUUUUUUGCAGCUAUUGUAAAUGGGAUUAUUCCCUUGAUUUCUUUUUCAGAUAGUUCACUGUUAGUGUAUAGAAAUGCUACUGUUGUGUGUUGAUUUUGUAUCACGCAGCUUUACCGAGUUUGUUUAUUAGCUGUAACAGUUUUUUGGUAAAAUCUGUAAGAUUUUCUAUAUAUAAGAUCAUUUUCUCACCAAUGGUUAUCUUACUUUUUAUUUCUUCCCUUUGUCUAAUAACUCUGGCAAAGACUUCCAAUAAUAUGUUGCAUAUGGCAAGAAGUGGGCAUCUUUGUCUUAUUGCAGAUCUUAGAGAAAAGGCUUUCAGUUUUUUACUGUUGCACAAAAUGUUA
rnacentral:lncRNA from 10 species